CUCGAGGUGACGUGUCACUUCAGAGCCUGAGUGGUAGCUCCUGCGGCCGUGCAGCACUCGCCAGUUAUCAAACGUUAUGAUGUCUCCUGCAAAGAGAUUGCACAGCCUCUGACAUCUGGAUCACAUCAGAACAGAAACAGCAAGAAGUACCACUUUCAUCAUGGCACAAGCUGUCAAGACCUGUGGUGGGCUGCCAAGCAAAGAAGUGCCUGACAUCAGGAAUGCUUUUAAAAGCAGAACAUGUUAACUAGCACUAGGUGAGGUUUCCAAGUCAAGCAGGAAGUUCUGUUCCCAUUGGUUUUAGUAGGAUUGACAUGACUGUAUCCCAGCUAACACUGAAAUCUACUUUUCUUUCUGGCCCAGUAAGUAGAAAGGGGGAAGAAAAAAGCCUCCGACUGCAUGAAGGGGAAAGAAAAUCUCCCCGUCUGAGCUGAAGCCUGGAUGGAAUGUGGUCCUUCUGGCAAAGGCUGACUUUUUAUAUUUCUACUUCUUUCUGCUUUAAGCCAUUUAGUCAAUGGAAGAGACACUGGCUGUUGCCCACAUAGUUUACCUGGUCAUUUUCUGAAUGAGGUUUGUCUCCACAAAAGCACAUCCAGCCAGAUGAAAUCCUGCAGGAUGGUGUCAUUCAUCUUUUUCUUAUUUGGAGUGCACUGAUGCUAUUUCAGAUGAGUGCCAAAAACAGCCCAAGACUAUUUACAAAUCCAAGGGAUGCCAGGAGCUUUGCUAAUAUCACAUCUUGGAUUGAUUGUGACAAAAACUGCUGACCGAUUCUGGGACUAGGAGAGGAUCCAGCCACACUUAGGCUCCUUACCCCUGUGGUCCAAGGAGUUUAGGAAGCAAAGGGAUCCAUUCUGAACCUUGUGACUCAACAGGAGGGCCCUGUAUGUGUUUAACCUACCCUCUAUGCAGAACAUCACGCGUAUCCAGCCAUCUUGUUAACGUUGUGAUUUAACAGCAUCUUAUGUCAGUAAACAUAUUCCUGUUCUUCUAUGAACAAAGAGCAUAGUGCAUUUGUUUCCAUCUGCCACGCCUCAACAGGAAAUGCUCAGGAUUGCUUCUCCAGGACACAUAUAAGAGAAUGUUGGACACCUUCCCAAGAUGAUGAUGAUUAGAAGUAGCAUUUACUUUUUCCCUUGUGCAAUCACCCUGUCCUUUAAGAGACACAGAUACUCGCUGUUGGGACUGAACGGUCACCCAGCAGGACCAGGUUGCUGUAGCUGUUCCCUAUUGCUCCUAAAAAGAGGAAGCAAAUUAACCAAGCGUAACCAUGGAGUAUGGCUAAGCACUUUGUAGAUCUGUAACAAUUGCAGUAGCAAAAGGCACUUGAUAAACCAGCAAGGCAUAAACACACAGAGAAUGGGCAAGCAGGAAGUCACAGAUGGCUGCAUGCUUGAUGUACAGGAAGCAGGAACAAAAAGUAAACUCAGCAAGAGUGCAACAAGAGCAAAUGAAGGGUCCUCCUCAAGAGAAGAAGAAAACACCAACACAGAGUGAAGAAAAACAAAGGAAGAACGGUGCACCACACCACUGGUUUCCCACCUCAAGCAACACACAAAGUCCUGUACCUUGGAAGCUGUGCAAGCCACAGAGUAUCAACGCUCCUCUAUUUUAUACUCACAGAUACUCUAGGAUGAGUUUGUUGUGGACCACUUGUGUUCUGAUGUGAUGUAUACAGUUAAUAAAUGUCAAUCCUGUGAAGUGUUACUUUAAAACUUAAA